CGGGUCGUGCGGCGGCCUACACAUGCAGUCGAGCGGUAGAGAGAAGCAUGCUUCUCUUGAGAGCGGCAGAGGGGUAAGUAAUGCUUAUGAAUCUGCAUGGUAGUGGGGGAUAAGGUUCGGAAACGGACGCUAAUGCCGCAUACGUCCUACCGGAGAAAGCGAGGGACCUUCAGGCCUUGCCCUAUCACAUGAGCCUAAGUCGGAUUAGCAAGUUGGUGAGGUAAUGGCUCACCCACGCGACGAUCCCUAACUGGUCUGAUAGGAUGAUCAUUCAGCCGAUAGUAACUGAAUUGCACUCCCUCUCUCUAUCUCUAUCGGAGGAGUAGUUUGGGAAUAUUGGCACAACGCGCGACAAUGCCCUGAUCGCAGCCGUGCCCCGUGUGUGCUAUGAUGUCUUUAGAAUACUAUACGCACUUUCAGGUAGGGAGGAAGGGGCUGUUACUUCACUACGCUGAUUGUUUUGACGUCACAAAUAGACACAAACACCUGUUUAAUUCUGUGCCAGCACCCGAGGUAAUGCAAAGGGUGCAAGCGUUAAUCCGAAUUACAGGGCGUAAACCGCGCGCAGGUUCUUUCCCUUUUUUGGAUGUGAAAUCCCCGGGCUCAACCUAGGAACUGCAGUCAAAACUGACUAACUAGAGUAUGGUAGAGGGGGGGUGGAAUUUCGUGUGUAGCGGUGAAAUGCGUAUAUAUAGGAAGGAACACCGGUGGCGAAGGCGGGCACCUCCACUUAUACUGCCCCCCCACGUUCCCACAGCAUGGGUGAGGAGAACAAAAACAGGAUAGCCCGCUCCUCCACGCCGUCCACCAUAUCAACUAACACUUUUAGAGCGUUGACCUCGAAAAUGCCCCCCCUCCACCCAAAAAAUUUAAUUCCCCGGGAGUGGAGCGCCCGCCGGGGAGGGUGAACACGAAAAUUUAAUUGGGCGGGGGAAAGAAAUAGAGAGUGGUCCUUUUUUUCUUAUUAAUUCGAAGAAAAACGAUAACCCUCCCCUCGUCUUGACAUCCCCACUAGAGAAAAAAAAAGAUAGAUCCGUUGCUCUCCUCUGGAAAACAAGUAACCGACAGAAGCUAGUCAUGGCUAGGUCGUCAGCUCGUGUCGUAGUAGAUGUUGGGUUAAGUACACACAACACACACGCCCUCCCUCUCCCAUUAGUUACCAGCACGUAAUGGUGGGCACUCUAAGGAGACUGCAAUGUGAACAAAGACCCCAGCCCCAAGCUCAGAGAAAGAGAAUGACGUCAAGUCAUCAUGGCCCUUACGGCCUGGGCUACACACGUGCUACAAUGGUCGGUACAGAGGGUUGCCAAGCCGCGAGGUGGAGCUAAUCCCAGAAAACCGAUCGUAGUCCGGAUCGCAGUCUGCAACUCGACUCCGUGAAGUCGGAAUCGCUAGUAAUCGCGAAUCAGAAUGUCGCGGUGAAUACGUUCCCGGGCCUUGUACACACCGCCCGUCACACCAUGGGAGUGGGUUGCACACAAGAAGUAGUUAGUCUUAACUCUUCGGGGGACGCUCUAUACGGUGUGACUGCAUACUUGG
rnacentral:rRNA from 1 species